ACCUCGACUAAGAAAAAAUAACUAAUCAUCUAUUUUGUUUUCAAUGGCCACUUCUAAUAUCAAACAUUUGGGUCUUGUUUUACUUCUUCUCACGACUCUAUUAGCCCUCAGCCAAGCAAGUAGAGACAUAUCAGAGAUCGGAGAAAUCAUUACUUCAGGGAACAGUAAUGUUUAUUUUUCAGGAUGCGUCCCGAGAAAAUGCGAUAUAGGAAAAUGUUGGUGUUGCGUUUACGAAAAAGACAUGUACCAAGGAUGUGCCAAGGAAAAGGAUGGGUGUAUAUCUAGAUGCCAUAAACCACCUCAAAGAGCUUAAUUAGUAUGAAUUAGCAACACUUCUUUUUAUCCAAGAUCAAUGGUAGUAAAGUAUCCUUACUUCAUCUUCCAUAUUACCUAGAAUGUAACACAUCUCAGUGUUAUCAAUAAAAGGAAAAUGUCCUUGAGAAGUUGCAAUAAUCUCAUUUUUGAAUAAACAAGGUCUAUUAGACCGUGCACUGCA